AGUUCACAAUUUUUACCUUCAGUAGGAACAAGAGUUUAACAGCUAGAAGACUUGACAAAAGGGAGAUAUGCUACUACCAUGGAUAUGUGGAGGAUGUUCCUAAAUCAGAAGCUAGGAUAAGUGCAUGUUCUGGAAAACUCAGUGGCCUUCUGAAAGUUAAUGAGACCUGGUAUGAAAUUGUACCACUGGCAUCAUCAUCUACACAGCAGCAUCUGAUUUAUGAUGUGAGAAAUUUUCAGCCAAAGCCAAGUUUCUGUGGAGUACUAAAUGAGCAUGUCCCAGAGGGUCAACAUUUCCAUACUGGAAAUCAGUA